rnacentral:lncRNA from 1 species
UUAGGAGAUUCGGGACCGAUCGUUAGAAAUCAUGUCGAUGGCGUAGACCAUAGCACACAAAAAUGUGGGAAUAAUUUUGAAUUUCUAUUUUAUGGCCUUAAAAUGCCAAAAAAUGUGGGAUGGUCAUGGCAAAGCGAUGACUAUUGUUUAUAAGAUCAUUUUUAUGGGCCCAUAAAAUUUUAGGGAAUUUGGGUUGAUCGCCCGAAUUCAUACAUAUGGACUAUAGCAUAACAAAAUUUGGAAAUCUUCUUGAAUUCCUAUUUAUGCCCUUAAAAUGACAAAAAAAAUAAGGAACGGUCAUGGUGAAGUGAUGACUAUUGUUCAUUAGGUUAAUUUUUAUAUUCGCGCAAAAUUUUAAGAGAUUCGGGAUAGAUCGUCUGAAUUCAUGUAGUUGGCGCGGAUGAUAAUACACGAAAAUUUAAUAAUCGUCUUGAAUUUUAUUUUAUGGCCCAAAAUCACUAAAGCACGCGGAACUAUCACGACAAAGUGAUUACUACUAUUCAUUUAGGUUGUUUUUUAGGGGCCCGUAAAAUUUUAGGAGAUUCGGGGUCGGUCACCCAAAUUUAUGUAGAUAGCAUGGAGUAUAGCACAAGAACAUCUAGGAAUCAUCUUGAAUUCC